UUCUGACUGUUACUUGCUAUAGGUGCUCGAUUUAUUAUUUGGUGGUAUUCAUAGAAGCAAGUGAGUUGUUCAUCGAAACAAUUUCCAUUUUUGUCAAGACCUUUUACAAAUUGUUUUAUAAGUCCUAAUUUUAUAUGUAAUGGAGGCAAAAUUAUACGAUCCCUUGAUACUAAAGGUGGGUUUAUCACGUUCUGUUGUCCUGGAACUAGCGCUUCCCGAGGAGGCUCACCAAGCAAAAAUAACAGUCAUCGUGGUGGUUCACGGGUUCUUUCCAGAUCAUAGUGGUUUCGUACUAAAUCUAUUGCUUUUCUUAUUUGUCCACAAACGUAGAAACUCAACACACGUUUUGCAUACCUUUUGUGGAAUCCAAGGCUUAUUUUUCAUUUCCAGCGGGUGACCAAAGUAAUUUUUGUAAGCCUCAAUUAUGAACGUAGUCACAUUCAAACGGUAUUCUUUAAACAUAUACUUUCCACAAAUGAAACAAAAAUGAUUCGGAUCAUUCACACAAACUCGUCUUGACGAUGCCAUAUCAAAUUAUAUUAAGAAAACUUAAUAAAUUAUAAAAUAUCAGCAAAUUAACACGGUAAUACGUCAAUUUUUUUGUGAAAGCUAUAACUUGUAAACAAGAGCUGUUACAAAAAAACGAGGGUAUAUCUAGAAUCAGCGACGUCAAAUUAGUAAACAUCAUGUGAUAAAAGUCAUUCAUCAGACAAAAGUUGCAAUUUUGUUUUGCGGUGUUAUUAAUGUUUUUAUUAUGGACUUGUUAGAUGAAAAUUUGCAAUCUGAAAAUUGCUUUCACAUUAAUUUCAAUGUAAAAAUUUCCAGUCUCUUGGGUAUCAGGAAGCU
rnacentral:lncRNA from 1 species